CUUGCAACCAGAGCCAACAUCUACUUUUACUUUGAGCAAAAUGUCAAAGUAGGGAAGGUGGAAAGAAGUUUCCAUGUUACAAAGUGUCAAGAACUAAAGCCUUUCCAGGGCUAUAAAUUUCAUCCAUGGAGGUUUUUUUUCUCAAUCUUUAUGCUUGGAAAAUGUUUUACUCUGAGGAAUGCUCUGGGGAGGAAUGCUAUGAAUGAAUACAGAAAGAUAUUUUGGUAGCUUCAACGAAGGUAGAAGGCAGUCCACAAUUAUUUGGUUCUGAUUAUGGUAGGCGGGGUAGGAAGGGUUUAACUUUGCAGAUUUGGUUUUGGGAAAUCGUGUGGCCAUCGAAGCAACCAGCAGGUAGCUUCCCAUGUGCAACAUUGCUGACCUUGGAGAGCUAGCUAGCUAUCUCUACCCCUUUCUUCAUUUCAUUUCCUUUCACUUCUGCUUUUUUAUGGAGAUCCUUAUUUUUCCUUCAGAAGUUACUUCAAUUGAAGUUUUGAAGGAAAACUAAGGAUCCUCUCAAAAAGCAGAAUUGAAAGGAAAUGAAAUGAAGAAAGGGAUAGAGAUAGCUAGCUAGCACUCCUAAGUCAGCAAUGUUCCACAAGGAAAGCUACCUGCUGGUUGCUUCAAUGGCUGAAGAAUUGUUCAGUUUCAUAUCUUUCAAUUAGUCUACACCUCAGAAAUGGGAAAAGAAAACCAUAUUUGCAAAUCAAUGUCUUCUUCAUUAUUCGCAUUUAAUCAUUCACUUUUGUAAUCAAUACUCAUUAUCAAUUUGAUCUGCUGAAUUUUCUGAAAACAUAAGUUAGUUGUAGGGCUAAUGUUCAGUUUGGGUGGAGCCAUGGGGGGGCCAGGAUAUCAGGAAGGAAAAGCAUGAAAUGUUGUUAUCUUCAUCAAUAGUUGCCAAUGCUGGAUUGCACAUGCGGCUGGUCCAUGUCCAUUGCCAUAAUAGCUUCCUGAUAAAACACCCUUUGGUUUCUAUACUCUAAACCUUGUUUUAGAGUUAUUUCCCAACCCAAAGAUCUGCCCCACAAGCAUGUGCAUAGAGCCCUGGACAGCUUCCAGGAAGUUUCCUCUGCCAACAUCUGAAAAUGUAGCUUGUUUCAUGCAAAUUAUGGGGGCAUGCAUCAGCACUCAAGUCCCACAAUAAUUUACAAAAAAACACAAGCUCUUCCUAGAUUUUCCUACUUUCUAAGAUGUCAAUGUCAUGAAUUAAUUUCAUUUUUUUAUCCCGUUUCAAGAAAUGGGAAUUAUUUUUGCACACCCAAAUCUAUGAUGUUGGUUUUCUUGAAACUAACAUUUGAAAUUAUAUUCAGCAGAGAGGGUAUGCAUAUACAUCAAUGAUAGGGGAAGGUAAUGGCAAGUGCAGUUUCCAGGAACUUUCCUCUAUAUCUAUUGAUAAGAGCAAGACAAAAACCAGUGCAUGCAGAUGUGUCUGACCAUCUUUUUUUGGUUAGAAUUUACAUGGCUUCUCGAUUUUUGAACUUAAUGAUUUAAAGUUGGAGAGUUUUCUAUCAAUUCCAGUUUAUAUGGUGUAGUCAAGUUAUGUUAGAAUUAGAUAUUCAACCAAUUAAGUUGGCCACAAAUUAAUGUGUCUUGCUGUUAGAUGCUUUGAAGUUUUAACUUAGCAUGCCAAGAUUACAUGUUCCCAAAUGAAAACUGAGGAGGAGUUCAUUUUCAAACUUUUGGAUUGCAAAUGAAGUGACAGGAAACAGAAGCGGAAAUGCCAUUGAAAUGAAAAUGGAAGACUUCUACAGUGUUCCAGUAAAUGAUGGCAAAAGCAAGUGGUGGCACAUUUUAAUGGAAGCUCUUCUCAGAAAAGGAUAAAAGAAAGCUCAAAAAUAUCUUUUAUUUUUUUGGAAUAUGUUAGAACAAAGUUACAUAUAUUCUGCAAUUUGUCUUUUCCAUUUUUCAUAAGAUAAAACUGUAGCAAGCUUUUCAAUUUUUGGGUACAUGAUGAACAGAGGAUUUGCCUUUGUUGUCACACAAAAUAAUGGAAACUUGAUGGGAGAACCACCUUGGGGCUUUAUUCAGUUUAUUUUUAUCUGGGAUAUACUAGAAAUUUUGGGCUGAUCUUA
rnacentral:sRNA from 10 species